GUUUUAAUAGUUUAUAUAAAACCUUGGUUUUGUAAAUCAAAAAUGAGACCCACUCUUAAAACU
rnacentral:tRNA from 1 species